rnacentral:rRNA from 1 species
AGUGGCGGACGGGUGAGUAACACGUAAGAAUUUGCCUUUAGGAGGGGGAUAACAACUGGAAACGGUUGCUAAUACCCCAUAUGCUUUCGAGUGAAAUGGAUUUCCGCCUAAAGAGAAGCUUGCGGCUGAUUAGCUUGUUGGUGAGGUAAUGGCUCACCAAGGCGACGAUCAGUAUCUGGUUUGAGAGGACGAUCAGACACACUGGAACUGAGACACGGUCCAGACUCCUACGGGAGGCAGCAGUGGGGAAUUUUCCGCAAUGGGCGAAAGCCUGACGGAGCAAUACUGCGUGAGGGAUGAAGGCCUAUGGGUUGUAAACCUCUUUUUUCAGGGAGGAACAAAAUGACGUGUACCUGAAGAAUAAGCAUCGGCUAACUCCGUGCCAGCAGCCGCGGUAAGACGGGGGAUGCAAGUGUUAUCCGGAAUCACUGGGCGUAAAGCGUCUGUAGGUGGUUAAGUAAGUCAACUGUUAAAUCUUGAGGCUUAACCUCAAAAUCGCAGUCGAAACUGCUUGACUAGAGUAUAGUAGGGGUAAAGGGAAUUUCCAGUGGAGCGGUGAAAUGCGUAGAUAUUGGAAAGAACACCGAUGGCGAAGGCACUUUACUGGGCAAUUACUAACACUGAGAGACGAAAGCUAGGGUAGCAAAUGGGAUUAGAUACCCCAGUAGUCCUAGCUGUAAACAAUGGAUACUAGAUGUUG